rnacentral:rRNA from 1 species
CCUACGGGCGGCAGCAGUGGGGAAUAUUGCACAAUGGGGGAAACCCUGAUGCAGCGACGCCGCGUGAGUGAAGAAGUAAUUCGUUAUGUAAAGCUCUAUCAGCAGGGAAGAAAAUGACGGUACCUGAGUAAGAAGCCCCGGCUAACUACGUGCCAGCAGCCGCAGUAAUACAUAGGGGGCAAGCGUUAUCCGGAUUUACUGGGUGUAAAGGGGGCGUAGACGGCAGUGCAAGUCUGGAGUGAAAGGCGGGGGCUCAACCCCCGGACUGCUCUGGAAACUGUACGGCGGGAGUGCAGGAGAGGGAAGUGGAAUUACUAGUGUAGGGGUGAAAUGCGUAGAUAUUAGGAGGAACACCAGUGGCGAAGGCGACUUACUGGACUGUAACUGACGUUGAGGCUCGAAAGCGUGGGGAGCAAACAGGAUUAGAUACCCCAGUAGUC